rnacentral:rRNA from 1 species
CUUAGCGGCGGACGGGUGAGUAACGCGUGGACAACCUGCCCUAUGCAGGGGGAUAACAUCCGGAAACGGGUGCUAAUACCGCAUAAGCGCACAGUACCGCAUGGUACAGUGUGAAAAGCUGAGGUGGCAUAGGAUGGGUCCGCGUUGGAUUAGGCAGUUGGCGGGGUAACGGCCCACCUAACCGACGAUGCGUAGGGGUUCUGAGAGGAAGGUCCCCCACACUGGUACUGAGACACGGACCAGACUCCUACGGAAGGCAGCAG